rnacentral:rRNA from 1 species
GAUGAACGCUGGCGGCGUGCUUAACACAUGCAAGUCGAACGAUGAAGCCCAGCUUGCUGGGUGGAUUAGUGGCGAACGGGUGAGUAACACGUGAGUAACCUGCCCUUAACUCUGGGAUAAGCCUGGGAAACUGGGUCUAAUACCGGAUAGGAGCGUCCACCGCAUGGUGGGUGUUGGAAAGAUUUAUCGGUUUUGGAUGGACUCGCGGCCUAUCAGCUUGUUGGUGAGGUAAUGGCUCACCAAGGCGACGACGGGUAGCCGGCCUGAGAGGGUGACCGGCCCCCCUGGGACUUAGGCACGGGCCAGACUCCUACGGGGGGCCGCCGUGGGGGAUAUUGCACCAUGGGCCCAAGCCUGAUGCCGCGGCGCCGCGUGAGGGAAGACGGCCUUUGGGUUGUAAACCUCCUUCAGUAGGGAAGAAGCCAAAGUGGCCGUACCUGCAGAAGAAGCACCGGCUAACUACGUG